GACGAACGCUGGCGGCGUGCUUAACACAUGCAAGUCGAACGAUGAACUCCAGCUUGCUGGGGGAGUUAGUGGCGAACGGGUGAGUAACACGUGAGUAACCUGCCCUUGACUCUGGGAUAAGCGCUGGAAACGGCGUCUAAUACCGGAUACGAGCUUCAGCCGCAUGGCUAGGAGUUGGAAAGAAUUUUGGUCAAGGAUGGACUCGCGGCCUAUCAGCUAGUUGGUGAGGUAAUGGCUCACCAAGGCGACGACGGGUAGCCGGCCUGAGAGGGUGACCGGCCACACUGGGACUGAGACACGGCCCAGACUCCUACGGGAGGCUG
rnacentral:rRNA from 1 species